rnacentral:lncRNA from 1 species
CUCUGUGUCAAUAUAAAUGAAACUGACGGGUUGCCAAAUGUAAGUUUAACUAAAAGAAAUUUAUUUUUAUUUUUUGAGGCAACAGAUGAUUUUAGAAAAAAAAUGACACCCUGUAUAUAAAUACACGGUAUAUAUCAAGUUUGGUGUUAGACAAUCCAAGAAUUCUGUCAGGUACAUAUCACUUUUAAGGAAGUUGGGGUAAGUUGUUUCAUCGAUAAGCUUUUCAACAAUGGCCUGUGCUUUAUCGAACAACAUCACGGGAGGCUCAAGGCACUGGGAAGAUUUAAUAUUUUUUCCUA